AUGGAUGAACCACGGCCGGUCAGACCUACAGAGCCAGUCAGAGAGGCCACUGAUGAUGAUGAUGCGUGGGAGAAGUAUAAAAAAGAUCAUGCUCCAGUGGAGAUGAGAUAUUCCAUUGAAAACCUAAAGUGGGUCAAUGCAAACAAAAAAUGCAUGGCAUUUAUAAAGAAUACAGUUGAGACCACCAUUGUGGGCUCAAUUGCAGAGUGCACUUCCGCAUGGGAGUUGCUUACAAAGAUAAUGAGCCAGUUCACUGGCUCUUCAAAGAUAUAUGCCACCCUGGUGUUGAAGCAACUGGUGACAGAGAACUACGCUGGAGGUAGUCAUGGAAUAAGAGAGCACAUCCUCAGAAUGAGCAACAUGGCGGUAAAGCUUAAGCCCAUGGAUGAGGAUCUGGAG
rnacentral:rRNA from 1 species